rnacentral:lncRNA from 1 species
CCCUCCUUUAGAUAUUGAAAGGCUGCUACUUCUCGGGAGGUGCACUGUGUUGUCUGCCUUAACAAGAAUUGCAUUCAGAAGAUCCUUUCAGUUAACUGAAAACAUGCACCAGUAAGUGGAUGAAGACAAAGGACAAGGAAAACAAAACACUGUUAGCAGAUUUGGACUACUCCUGGAUAUGGGGCAGUUCUCAGUCCAUGAACAAGAAGAGUCCUCAGCAGGGCUGGAAGCAGAGGGCUACAGGGAGAUCUGUGGGCAGAUUAAUCACCCAAGCUCUCAGGUCAACGUGAUGGAGCUGAUCUUGUUAGCGUCUUCCUCAGCAUCAGAAGAAAAAUCUGAAAAUCAUCAGAUGAGGAGGAGACUGAAACAAAGUCUCCAUGAAGAUGGAUGGCUUUUCCUGAUCCUGAGAAGAAAAAAAAGAUUAAAAAAAAAAAAAAAGGAAAAAAGCAAAAAAAACAACAAUCUGGUGAGUGCAAAAAGCAAAAAGCACUUGACAGAAACAAGUGGUUCUAUAAGCUCUGUGUCACCCCAGGGCCGUUGCUGACAUCUGCGAAUUCAGCCAUCUGAUUCUGAAGCCUUUUAUGCAGGGAGGUAACUAAG